AGAGUUUGAUCCUGGCUCAGGAUGAACGCUAGCGGCAGGCUUAAUACAUGCAAGUCGUGGGGCAGCAGCUUUGUAGCAAUACAGAGGCUGGCGACCGGCAAACGGGUGCGGAACACGUACGCAAUCUACCCAGAACCGGUGAAUAGCCCUCCGAAAGGAGGAUUAAUACACCGUAACAUAUUGAAGAGGCAUCUUUUUAAUAUAAAAGCUCCGGCGGUUUUGGAUGAGCGUGCGGCUGAUUAGGUAGUUGGCGGAGUAAUAGCCCACCAAGCCUACGAUCAGUAACUGGUGUGAGAGCACGACCAGUCACACGGGCACUGAGACACGGGCCCGACUCCUACGGGAGGCAGCAGUAAGGAAUAUUGGUCAAUGGACGCAAGUCUGAACCAGCCAUGCCGCGUGAAGGAUGAAGGUCCUCUGGAUUGUAAACUUCUUUUAUAUGGGACGAAACCCUUUUAUUCUUAAAAGAUUGACGGUACCAUACGAAUAAGCACCGGCUAACUCCGUGCCAGCAGCCGCGGUAAUACGGAGGGUGCAAGCGUUAUCCGGAUUCACUGGGUUUAAAGGGUGCGUAGGUGGGUUUGUAAGUCCGUGGUGAAAUCUCCAAGCUUAACUUGGAAACUGCCAUGGAUACUAUAAAUCUUGAAUACCGUGGAGGUGAGCGGAAUAUGUCAUGUAGCGGUGAAAUGCUUAGAUAUGACAUAGAACACCAAUUGCGAAGGCAGCUCACUACACGAAUAUUGACACUGAGGCACGAAAGCGUGGGGAUCAAACAGGAUUAGAUACCCUGGUAGUCCACGCCCUAAACUAUGGAUACUCGACAUACGCGAUACACAGUGUGUGUCUGAGCGAAAGCAUUAAGUAUCCCACCUGGGAAGUACGAUCGCAAGAUUGAAACUCAAA
rnacentral:rRNA from 1 species